GGCAAAUUUAGCGCUAUGUUAAGCAAUCGUAAUUGGACUUAUGUAGAAGUCACAACUAUCUGAGGCCGGUCAAUAAUAAUGUAGGCAAACAACACAAGUUAGAAGUCUUGAUUAGUGAACCAAGUUCCAACAACUGGCCAUGCCAAAAAGAAGAAGAGAAUUGAUCUUGUAUUGGUUUAAGUCUUUUGCAUGAUUUAGGAAGCAACCUAUCCUUAAUGCAAAGCCAUUCACUUGAUCAUUUGAUCAAGAUGAAUUAGAUUUGAAUCAAGGAAGAUUAAACCUCCC
rnacentral:lncRNA from 1 species